rnacentral:lncRNA from 1 species
GAACCACAGCUCCAGGACUCUACCUCUCAUCAAGGCUGACCAGAAGCAAGAUGAUGGAAGCCAAGAGAGCUCCUCUGCAUGCUCCACUGUCUAAGCUCUGCUCUGCAUCUGCCGUGAUUCUUCUUCCAAACAGAAAACACCGUCUUUCUUUUUGACUACAUCUGUCCUCAGAGAUGGUGCUGAUGGAUCCAUUUAUAAUUUAUGUGAAUUUAAACCUUUGCAAUUUUUACAUGGAAUAAAAGGACCUAUUUUCUGGAAAGAAAAUGCUGAACAAGAGCUGAGAACCUGGGGCAAUCUAAGGCAGGGGUUCCUCCCUAACACCCCUGC